rnacentral:rRNA from 1 species
UACGGGGGGGGCAAGCGUUGUUCGGAAUUACUGGGCGUAAAGGGCUCGUAGGCGGCCAACUAAGUCAUACGUGAAAUCCCUCGGCUUAACCGGGGAACUGCGUCUGAUACUGGAUGGCUUGAGUUCGGGAGAGGGAUGCGGAAUUCCAGGUGUAGCGGUGAAAUGCGUAGAUAUCUGGAGGAACACCGGUGGCGAAGGCGGCAUCCUGGACCGAUACUGACGCUGAGGAGCGAAAGCGUGGGUAGCGAACAGG